AGGAGAAGGAGAAAAAGAGGAAGAGGAAGAAGAAGAAGAGGAAGAAGAAGAAGAAAAGAAGAAGCAGCAAUAAAAGGAAACCAAUCUUCUUUUGGAGGGGAAAAGUGCCCAAGAAUCUCAUAAUUUUACUUCUCAUUAGCGAAAGCUCACUGCAUGCUAAAAGGCUUCUCCCCUCAUCCUUCUUUUGGAUCUUCAGGAGAAUUUGUGUUUAUCCACACAUAUUUUUGAGCCUGGAACAGACUAGACUGAAACUUAGCUACUGUCUGUAAAGCAAAUCUGGAAGUUUCUACCUCAGGUAGCUGUUUGAGUUUCCUAACCCUAAAGAUGUAGGCAACCCUAAAGAUGUAGAAGAAAUGAAGAUGAUUUAGAGAAUGGAAUGAUCCCGGUAAGAAACUUAAAGAACAGAUGGUCAGUAGGUUAGAGAAAAAAAAUACAGGUCUAUAGCUCCACAAAUUAAUUGGAUAUUUCUUCCAUGUUUUGCCUAUUCCAUAUCCUGAAAUUAGAAAUUGAACUUCAAGGAGGAGGAAGGAAUCUACAUAUUUUAUGUUCAUAUUGAAUCCCUUCUAAAGAGAAAUGCUUCAGUCCUUGGGCCAAUGUCUGUCCUGCUUUUAAAACUAAUGUGACCUGCAGUGUUUUUUCACUGUAUCCUCUAUAUAUUCCACCAGCCAAGAUUUCUGACAGGUUAUAGUUUGUGUUUUCUAUUACAAAGAUCAUAGGUAAAUUGAAUGCACUUU
rnacentral:lncRNA from 1 species